CACGAACCGUACGAACGUUAUUCGGAAUCACUGGGCUUAAAGGGUGCGUAGGCGGUCCGGUAAGUUGGGUGUGAAAUCCCUCGGCUCAACCGAGGAAUUGCGCUCAAGACUGCCGGGCUAGAGGGAGUCAGAGGUGAGUGGAACUUAGGGUGGAGCGGUGAAAUGCGUUGAUAUCCUAAGGAACACCAGUGGCGAAAGCGACUCACUGGGGCUCUUCUGACGCUGAGGCACGAAAGCUAGGGGAG
rnacentral:rRNA from 1 species